rnacentral:lncRNA from 1 species
AAUUUCAAACAAAUAAUAAAAUUCUUAAAGAAAUAUUAGAAUGAUCACAAAUAUUACUCAAAUAUAUGUCAAUUCAAUCUUAAUUUAAUUCUAGUUAAAACCUUAUUGAAUUUCACUCAAACUUUAGACCAAAUCUAAUUAAAUCUUAAACCCUAAUAAAUCCUAAAUCCUAAGUCAAAUCCUAAACAAAUCUUAAAUUAAACCCUAAAUCAAAUCCUAUUUCAAACCUUAAACCCUAAAUCAAAUCUUAAAUUAAAUCCUAAUCCAAAUCCUAAAUCAAACCCUAACCAAAUCCUAAACCCUAAUCCAAACCCUAAUCCAAACCUUAAAUCAAAUCCUAACCAAAUCAUAAACCCUAAUCCAAACCCUAAUCCAACCCUAAAUCCUAACCAAACCCUAAAUCCUAAUCCAAAUCUUAAUCCAAACCCUAAUUCAAAUCCUAAAUCGAACCCUAGCCAAACCCUAAUCCAAAUCCUAGUAAUUCCUAUGACAGAUUUAAACCUCAAUAUCUAAUGAAUAAACCAUCGAUCUAAAUUCAAAAUUUGUAUACUUCUUAAAAAUCAAGUUUAAAACACGCAAAAAAAAUUUGAAAAGGAUCGGAGAUACCAAAUUGACGAAAACCUCAAAAAUGUAUUCGAGUGUUAGCCGGCAUCCUUCUCCAAUCUUGAUGCCAACCUUCCAGAGCCAAUUUCUCGUCUUUGCGCCGUUCGAUUGGUUUCAAAUUUCUCAUGGACAUAGAAAAACAAGUCUAAUACCCUCUCACAUAAGUUUUACUCCAAUCCAACUAGUAGAUUGCAUGAAAUCUUAAAAACCCUCACUAGACCUAAAAUUCUACUUUCUGAGACCUUGACCCGCUUAAACCUCAAUAUCUCUCACUUUAACCGUUAGAUCAAGCUCAAAUUCACAACAUGUAUUUAACACAACUAUAAUAAUAAACCCAAAAAGUUUCAUCCAUAGAUCUGCAACGAAACUCUCGAAAUCACUCAAAACAUAAAUCCUAUUUUAUUUCAUAAAAUCCAAGUCAUCUGAAACAAACCUCUACUUUGCAAAGCUCUUACAA